rnacentral:rRNA from 1 species
GACCAGACUCCUACGGGAGGCAGCAGUGGGGAAUAUUGCACAAUGGGGGAAACCCUGAUGCAGCGACGCCGCGUGAGUGAAGAAGUAUUUCGGUAUGUAAAGCUCUAUCAGCAGGGAAGAAAAUGACGGUACCUGACUAAGAAGCCCCGGCUAACUACGUGCCAGCAGCCGCGGUAAUACGUAGGGGGCAAGCGUUAUCCGGAUUUACUGGGUGUAAAGGGAGCGUAGACGGCGAUGCAAGCCAGAUGUGAAAGCCCGGGGCUCAACCCCGGGACUGCAUUUGGAACUGUGUGGCUGGAGUGUCGGAGAGGCAGGCGGAAUUCCUAGUGUAGCGGUGAAAUGCGUAGAUAUUAGGAGGAACACCAGUGGCGAAGGCGGCCUGCUGGACGAUGACUGACGUUGAGGCUCGAAAGCGUGGGGAGCACACAGGAUUAGAUACCCCCGUAC